GGAUGCGAUCAUACCAGCACUAAAGCACCGGAUCCCAUCAGAACUUCGAAGUUAAGCGUGCUUGGGCGAGAGUAGUACUAGGAUGGGUGACCUCCUGGGAAGUCCUCGUGUUGCAUUCC
rfam:Triticum aestivum genome assembly, contig: Triticum_aestivum_CS42_TGACv1_scaffold_427898_5BS